GAUGAACGCUAGCUACAGGCUUAACACAUGCAAGUCGAGGGGUAACAAGAGGAAAGCUUGCUUUUCUUGUUGACGACCGGCGCACGGGUGAGUAACGCGUAUCCAACCUGCCUAUAACUAGGGAAUAACCUUGCGAAAGUAAGACUAAUACCCUAUGAUUUCCUUUAAUGACAUCAGAUUAGGAAUAAAGAUUUAUCGGUUAUAGAUGGGGAUGCGUCUGAUUAGCUUGUUGGCGGGGUAACGGCCCACCAAGGCAACGAUCAGUAGGGGUUUGGAGAGGAAGGUCCCACGCAUUGGAACUUGGACACGGUCCAAACUCCUACGGGAGGCAGCAGUGAGGAAUAUUGGUCAAUGGGCGGAAGCCUGAACCAGCCAAGUAGCGUGCAGGAUGACGGCCCUAUGGGUUGUAAACUGCUUUUAUACAGGAAUAAAGUUAGCCACGUGUGGUUAUUUGUAGGUACUGUAUGAAUAAGGACCGGCUAAUUCCGUGCCAGCCGCCGCGGUAA
rnacentral:rRNA from 1 species